GGAGACCGAGGGAAGGAGCAUGCACUGGGUUUGGCCACGACCAGGGGUGGUUGCGAGUUCAGGCUUGCGUACAGGGGUCGUUGUCACAUGUGCGGGUGCCUUUCUUACAUGAGGUUGUUGUGCUGCAAGCACCAGUGCUGGAUUCGCAGGGGUCUGGGACACCAGAUGCGUGUGGCGUUCCGCCAUUGAGUGGAGGUAAUUAUUUUGGGCAGUUUUCACGUCGGG
rnacentral:lncRNA from 1 species